rfam:Anolis carolinensis chromosome 2, whole genome shotgun sequence.
UUUGUGAGGUAUUAAUACUUGAAAUACAUCAGAUCUCAUCCGAUCUUGGAAGCUAACCAAGGGUUAGCUCUGUUUAGUACUUGGAUGGGAGACUGCCAGUGAAUACUAGGUGCUCUAAGCU